rnacentral:rRNA from 1 species
GGGAUGGGCCCGCGGCCUAUCAGCUUGUUGGCGAGGUAACGGCUCACCAAGGCGACGACGGGUAGCUGGUCUGAGAGGACGACCAGCCACACUGGAACUGAGAUACGGUCCAGACUCCUACGGGAGGCAGCAGUGGGGAAUCUUGCACAAUGGGCGAAAGCCUGAUGCAGCGACGCCGCGUGGGGGAUGAAUGCCUUCGGGUUGUAAACCCCUUUCAGUUGGGACGAAGCUCGGACGGUUAACAGCCGGCUCGAGUGACGGUACCUUCACAAGAAGCCCCGGCUAACUACGUGCCAGCAGCCGCGGUAAUACGUAGGGGGCAAGCGUUGUCCGGAAUCAUUGGGCGUAAAGAGCGCGUAGGCGGUCCGGUAAGUCCGCUGUGAAAGUCAAGGGCUCAACCCUUGAAUGCCGGUGGAUACUGCCGGGCUAGAGUCCGGAAGAGGCGAGUGGAAUUCCUGGUGUAGCGGUGAAAUGCGCAGAUAUCAGGAGGAACACCAGUGGCGAAGGCGGCUCACUGGACCGGUACUGACGCUGAGGCGCGAAAGCGUGGGGAGCAAACACGAUUAGA